UCCGGUGCUGACGAGCGGCGAACGGGUGAGUAACACGUAGGAAUAUACCCAGUAGCGGGGGAUAGCCCAGGGAAACUUGGAUUAAUACCGCAUACGCCCCAUGGGGGAAAGAAGGCCUCUCUUUAGAAGCUUUCACUAUUGGAUUAGCCUGCGUAAGAUUAGCUUGUUGGUGAGGUAAAGGCUCACCAAGGCAACGAUCUUUAGCUGGUCUGAGAGGACGAUCAGCCACAUUGGGACUGAGACACGGCCCAGACUUCUACGGAAGGCAGCAGUAAGGAAUAUUGGACAAUGGGGGCAACCCUGAUCCAGCCAUACCGCGUGUGUGAAGAAGGCCCUAGGGUUGUAAAGCACUUUAAGCAGGGAAGAAGCAUAUUAAAUUAAUACUUUAAUAUGUUGACGUUACCUGAAGAAUAAGGACCGG
rnacentral:rRNA from 1 species